GAUGAACGCUGGCGGCGUGCCUAAUACAUGCAAGUCGAGCGAACAGACGAGAGUGCUUGCACUCUCUGACGUUAGCGGCGGACGGGUGAGUAACACGUGGGUAACCUACCUAUAAGACUGGGAUAACUUCGGGAAACCGGAGCUAAUACCGGAUAAUAUUUAGCUUCGCAUGAAGCAAUAGUGAAAGACGGUUCUGCUGUCACUUAUAGAUGGACCCGCGGUGUAUUAGCUAGUUGGUGAGGUAACGGCUCACCAAGGCAACGAUACAUAGCCGACCUGAGAGGGUGAUCGGCCACACUGGGACUGAGACACGGCCCAGACUCCUACGGGAGGCAGCAGUAGGGAAUCUUCCGCAAUGGACGAAAGGCUGACGGAGCAAUGCCGCGUGAGUGAAGAAGGUUUUCGGAUCGUAAAACUCUGUUGUAAGGGAAGAACAAGUACGUUAGUAACUGAACGUACCUUGACGGUACCUUACCAGAAAGCCACGGCUAACUACGUG
rnacentral:rRNA from 1 species